rnacentral:rRNA from 1 species
CCUACGGGUGGCAGCAGUAGGGAAUAUUGCUCAAUGGGGGAAACCCUGAAGCAGCAACGCCGCGUGGAGGAUGAAGGUUUUCGGAUUGUAAACUCCUUUUUUUAGAGAAGAUAAUGACGGUAUCUAACGAAUAAGCACCGGCUAACUCCGUGCCAGCAGCCGCGGUAAUACGGAGGGUGCAAGCGUUAGCCGGAAUCACUGGGCGUAAAGAGCGCGUAGGCGGGGUAGCAAGUCAGAUGUGAAAGCCUAGGGCUUAACCAUAGAACUGCAUUGGAAACUGUUAUUCUAGAGUAUGGGAGAGGUAGGUGGAAUUCUUGGUGUAGGGGUAAAAUCCGUAGAGAUCAAGAGGAAUACUCAUUGCGAAGGCGACCUGCUAGAACAUAACUGACGCUGAUGCGCGAAAGCGUGGGGAGCAAACAGGAUUAGAUACCCGGGUAGUC